GACGAACCGGACGAACGUUAUUCGGAAUCACUGGGCUUAAAGAGUACGUAGGCGGCCAGGUAAGCGAGGUGUGAAAUCCCACGGCUCAACCGUGGAACUGCGCUUCGAACUACAUGGCUUGAGGGAAGCAGAGGUAAGCGGAACUGAUGGUGGAGCGGUGAAAUGCGUUGAUAUCAUCAGGAACACCAGUGGCGAAGGCGGCUUACUGGGCUUUUUCUGACGCUGAGGUACGAAAGCUAGGGUAGCGAACGGG
rnacentral:rRNA from 1 species